rnacentral:rRNA from 1 species
CCUACGGGAGGCAGCAGUGGGGAAUAUUGCACAAUGGGCGAAAGCCUGAUGCAGCGACGCCGCGUGAGGGAUGACGGCCUUCGGGUUGUAAACCUCUUUCAGUAGGGAAGAAGCGAAAGUGACGGUACCUGCAGAAGAAGCGCCGGCUAACUACGUGCCAGCAGCCGCGGUAAUACGUAGGGCGCAAGCGUUAUCCGGAAUUAUUGGGCGUAAAGAGCUCGUAGGCGGUUUGUCGCGUCUGCCGUGAAAGUCCGGGGCUCAACUCCGGAUCUGCGGUGGGUACGGGCAGACUAGAGUGAUGUAGGGGAGACUGGAAUUCCUGGUGUAGCGGUGAAAUGCGCAGAUAUCAGGAGGAACACCGAUGGCGAAGGCAGGUCUCUGGGCAUUAACUGACGCUGAGGAGCGAAAGCAUGGGGAGCGAACAGGAUUAGAUACCCUGGUAGUCCAUGCCGUAAACGUUGGGCACUAGGUGUGGGGGACAUUCCACGUUUUCCGCGCCGUAGCUAACGCAUUAAGUGCCCCGCCUGGGGGAGGUACGGCCGCGAGACGUAAAACUUAAAUAGAAGUUAGACGGCGUGAGACGUGCCGACGGACGACGACGAGGGAGGAGG